UUAAGGGAGUUAUUGACUGGGCUUCCCACCACUUAAACGUGGUUGUACUUGCUUUAGACCUAAGAAAGUAAGUGCUUCCAUGUUUUGGUGAUGGUAUGUUUUCCUUUAUAUUCAUGCCUUU
rnacentral:pre_miRNA from 7 species